rnacentral:lncRNA from 1 species
AUAAAAAAAGAGAAAUUCCCUACGAUAGCCAUUUUUAAGUUUUUGUCACAAAAAAUAGUCCUCAAUGAAGAAAAUGACCAAAAUAAAUUUUAUUAAAAGGUAAAAAUGUAUUUUUACCCUAGGGUUAACUAAUUUAGACUUAGUGUUUAGAGUAAAGGAGAUGGUUUUUGGGGAUAGUGUUUCAAAUUUUUUUAAAAAAAUUAAAAAUUUCAAAAUAAAAAAAAGCUAUUUUGGUCAUUUUUUUUCUUGAGAGCUAUUUUUGUGACAAAAA